CCUACGGGAGGCAGCAGUGGGGAAUAUUGCACAAUGGGGGAAACCCUGAUGCAGCGACGCCGCGUGAGUGAAGAAGUAAUUCGUUACGUAAAGCUCUAUCAGCAGGGAAGAAAGUGACGGUACCUGAGUAAGAAGCCCCGGCUAACUACGUGCCAGCAACCGCGGUAAUACGUAGGGGGCAAGCGUUCUCCGGAUUUACUGGGUGUAAAGGGAGCGUAGACGGUGCGCCGAGUCUGGAGUGAAAUGCCGCAGGUUAACUGCGGAACUGCUUUUGAAACUGGCGAACUAGAGUGCUGGAGGGGGAAGUGGAAUUCCGAGUGUAGCGGUGAAAUGCGUAGAUAUUAGGAGGAACACCGGUGGCGAAGGCGGCUUACUGGACCGUAACUGACGCUGAGGCUCGAAAGCGUGGGGAGCAAACAGGAUUAGAUACCCCGGUAGUC
rnacentral:rRNA from 1 species